UUCAAAAAAAGACUUAUCGUCUUCCUCCUCUUUACCGAGGAGUAGUUUAAACUUGGGGGUUCAUUCUCUCUCGGGGUACGCUUGAGCCGCGGUCUCCCGAUCCUCCUCCUCCUCCCCUGAAUCUCCUCCCUCCUCCCCGGAAAAGUCCCCUUCUUCCUCAGAGGGAGUGUCUUCCUCCAGGACCUGGGGGGCGGGGGGGGUGUUGCGGGAGAUCAAGAGUUUCAGAAGAUGUCAUGGGGUUCGCACGGGGGGGCAGUGGGUUCCUGCCCUUCUGCCACUGAGGAAAAGCCGUCACCUCCCCUGAGCGCCUGCAAAAGUGUACGUACAAGAGAUUCUGGGUAUUUCGCAUCAUAUGUCACUUGGUAAAGAGCUCUAGAAGCAGCCAACAACGCCCCUGCAUUUGGAUCCUGCGAGGUGACACACUCAUAUAACUUCAUGCUAACAUCUGCCCAAAACCAGGGUUGAAAUAGGUCUUUUUCUUUUAAAGCUGGGUAAGUUUCUAAAUCCUUUUUUUGUACUUUUGCUGGGUGCUGGUUUACUAAGUGUUUUAUUUUCUGGAAAGCGUUUCUGUCUUUAGUGGAGAGAUUCCCUCCCAUUCUGGUCCCCUUUGAGAGCUCACCGAAUUUGGAGUUCAGCUAUCAGUCCUGAUUUACGUCUAUGCAGAGCAUGGGGUCCAAAUCCUCUGGCCACAAGGAAUUCAGAUGUCUGAUAGACCUGAAAGAUGCCUUCUUUUGCCUCCCUAUCCACAAUGCCAGUCGGAAAAUUUUUGCAUUCGAAUGGGAAACCCUUAAAAGCAGGCGCAAAACACAGCUCACAUGGUCCAUGUGCCUCAAGACUUCAAAAAUUCCCCCACUCUAUAUGGAGAACAACUUGCAAAGAUCCAGAGUCCUGGGAAGCUCCACAGGAAGAAAGAAGGCUAUUGCAGUACGUAGAUGAUCUUCUAGUAACCACUCAGACAAGGGACUCGUGUGUGGCCUGGACGGUAAGCCUUUCAAAUUUCCUAGGACUCCAAGGAUACAGAGUGUCAAAGAAAAAGGCACAGGUAGUGAAACAGAAAGUAAUCUACCUGGGGUACAAGGUCAGUGCUGGGCAACAGACAUGAGGGCAGGCUCGCAAAGAAGCCGUAUGCCAAACCCCAAAACCCCAAAUGACAAAGGAACUCCGAACCUUCUUAGGCAUUGCAGGGUGGUGCCGGCUGUGGGUUUAUAAUUAUGGACUGCUCGUCAGACCCCUCUAUGUUCUUAUUGCCAAUGGAAAUAGAGAUCUCCAGUAGAAAAAAGAAGCCACAUGGGCCUUUCACCUGCUAAAGAGUGCCCUCAUGUCAGCUCCAGCUUUGGGACUUCCAGAUGUAAGUAAACCAUUCUUUCUAUUUUCCCAUGAAAGACAGGGAAUUGCCCUGAGAAUACUGGCUCAGGACUUGGGUCCAUACUGGAGGGCACUUGCUUACUUCUCCAAGCAACUAGAUGCAACAGCCAAAGGAUGGCCAGGUUGCCUCAGAGCUAUAGCAGCAGUCGUGCUGAAUAUUCAAGAAGCACGCAAGUUUACCCUGGGACAGAAAAUGACUGUGCUGGUGUCUCACACAGUGUCCGCAGUACUGGCAGUAAAGGGCGGCCACUGGCUUUCACCACAGAGGUUCCUGAAGUAACAGGCCAUCAUGGUAGAACAAGAUGAUGUAGAGAUAGUAGCAACUAAUAUUGCCAACCCAGCUUCCUUUCUCAGUGGAAAUCAAGGAGAAGCAGUACAUCUCGAUUGCCUGGAGACCAUUGAAGCUACCUACUCCAGCCGCCCAGACUUAAAGGACACUCCUUUGGGCAAUGUAGAGACCUGGUUUACUGACGGGAGUAGCUACGUUGCCAGUGGAAAGCGACAUGCUGGUUACAGUGACUACAUUCAGAGAGGUAAUAGAAUCUGGACCCUUACCAACAGGCACCUCUGCACAGAAGGCCGAGAUAAUUGCACUGACCCGUUCCUUGGAAAUGGCAAAAAGAAAGAGAAUAAACAUCUAUACAGACCUGAGGUAUGCAUUCGGAGUCGUGCAUGCACAUAGAGCCAUCUGGAGGGAGAGGGAACUGCUGACCUCACAAAGAAAGAAGAGAUAAUCCAGCUGCUGGAAGCAGUUCAGCUGCCUGAAAAGGCAUAUUAAGGCACACCAGAGAGUAAGCUCAGAAUUGGAGGAAGGAAAUGAGCUGGUGGAUGGAGAGGCAAAGAAAGCAGCAAAAGGUGAGGUAAUUAUGGACAGAUUUCCCUUGAUGGUAAGCCAGAAUAUAAUAAUACUAAUCAAAAGGGACAUACAACCACAAGGGGUGGGCUACUGUGAGAGUCUGUCCGAAAUAUCCCUCAAUCUGCCUCACGACUGCCAUUGAGAGACCACUGAGAAGACCCCCUGUCCCAAGAUUUCUGGCCCUGCAGUGGAAAUUUCCAUGCCAGCCAAGGGCUCGAAGACCUGCAAGCAUUGCUAAGCUACUGUUACCACAGGUGUGUGUGUUUUGCUGCUGCAUGCUACACUGCACUCCAGGAGAAGACAAAAAACAUUCUGACCUUUUUGCAACAAUAGCUCUGGGAUUUUCUUCCCCCAAUUCUUGGCCUGGCUGGACUUCUCCUGAAUUUUGGAGGGUGGUCCCUCAAAGAAGACCCCUCUUGUUCAUUUACAACCACCGUGACAGACAAACCGAGAUGUAGGAAGCCACCUCACCAGAGAAAAAGCCGAGACAUGAAAUCCCCAUGUGAAAAGGCCUCCCUCACACUCCCCAAGGACUGGGACUGAAGCCCCCAGCCCGGGGGAGGUGCGCAGGGGAGGCAAGCUGACCAAAGCAAGAUGGAUGUUGCAGGUGCGGGCAUUGGACCACGAAAACAGUGGCCCUCGCCCACUGAGAUAUGGACUGUGUGUACCCUUUUUCCAAAUACCAUUCUUUUUACCAGAAGAUACAAUAGAUUCAGUUUCUAAAUAAUCCCCCUUCCCCCCAUUGAAAAAGUGUAUAAUUGGGGUCCAGAUGGACUGCAUCUCUGAGAUCUCCCCGGACGUGACCUGGUGAACCUCAUCGGCUGGACACCGAAGGACCUUCGCCAUUCCCACAUUUGGUAGCUAUAUACCCUUUUCUUUUUCCUCCCUCUUUUUCCUUAUUUUUUCCUUUUUUCCCCAAUUCCUCCCCAAUGCAUUUCUGCUGUGGUUAUUUCAAUAAAGUGCAUUGUGUUGAUUAUCACUGCAAACCCCUUGUACCGUGUCGGUUUUUUGCACCCUGAGAUCAAUCCAUGAACCAUCACAAAACCCAUUUGCAAGGACGGCUCGUGACAGCUACCAUUGAAAGGGAGCUGGUAAUCCCUUUCCAUUUUUGUGGUCACUAGUGAAGGAGAAGCACCAGAAAACACACUGGGGCCUAACUACUUAAAAGCUUUUAUAAAGUGUGGCUCCUUUCCCAGAAUGACCAAGGCUGCCAGUGUUACAGAACGCAUUGAAAUGAAGUGUUGACUUUUAAGGAGUAGUUUCCACAGGCUUUCUAGAACACAUAUCUGAUUGAAAGAAUCGUUGCCAGCAAUUUAUAUGCCACUAUUACUCAGGUAAACUGACAGUGUGAUCCUUGCCUCCAGACUAACCCCAUGAAUACCCCCAGACCAAAACUAGGUCAGAUUGGGAAGGGUCAUGGAUCUGGAGAGCAGUGGCAAAUUGACUUUUCAGAACUCCCAUGGAAAGGGGGGUGUCAGUAUUUAUGAGUAUUGACAAAUACAUUUUCAGGGUGGCCAGAAGCAUUCCCCACGAGAACUUUCAAGGCUUGAGAGGUGACCAGAGUAAACAGUACUGCUUUCGGAGUUUCAGCCACAAUAUCUAUAUGGCAGCUUUAAGUAGACAGCUCAGAGAAAAUGGAAAACAUGUGACUGGAACUUGGAGCAGGGAGCUAGAUGGACCAGUACAUAACAUACAGCCUGGAGAUGAUGUAUAUGUUAAGCCUCUUGCAGACAAAGACUUUGGAACCACAGUGGGAGGGACCGUUCCAGGUGCUUCUCACCACCUUUGCUGCAAUCAAGAUCAAGUGUGGCAUUGUGUGUUUUUAGAAUCAGUUAUUCCUUUUGUAACUCAAUAAUGGUUCGGUCCUCGGUUCCCCCUCCCCCCCCCCCCCCGUACUUCCCUCACAAUGGUUUCUCCCUAUUGGAGCUGCCCCCCCUCCCCUGCCUGUCAUGGUAACCACCCCGCUUAUCUCGAGAAUUCUCUGUGUCAGUCAUUCCUUAAUUUGAUGUAUGAUUUGCCCCUGUGGUUUUUCCCCUCCCCUGUGUGAUCCUCAGUGGCUUAGCUGUAACCCACGCUCCUCCCUGGGUCCUUGCUAUUGGUAAGCUUUGUGUCUCCUCCUAUCACACCCACUCCCUUUAUCAGCGUCCCCCAGGGACCCUGUCUUUGUCGCCUGUCCCUGAACCCACCAGGGAAGAACAUUAAAAGAUCCUUGGUACUUAUACAGGCGUCCCUCCUCCUUCCUUUGCUUUGGUACCUCGUAGCCGAAGAUCCCGCCUGCGCCACCCACGCCGCAGAUGGUAACCACUACCAGGGUUCCGGAGGGGAUCUGGGAGUGGCACUUUGUGUGGCCAUCUUUGGCCGGGCCGUGGGCACCCGCACAGCCCCGUGGUCGCUGGAGAGAGGCUACAAUCAAGGAGCAGAAUGCCUGGAUUCAGCACUCUUGAGUGAAGAAGGCCCCAGAAGCCCCUUUGGAGAGUGACAUCAGGAGACAAUGAACUGAGACUAAAACUUACUCAGGCAAAAUGAGUAUAUUGCGGCCGGGGGUAGUUUGUAAUUUCAUUUACAGAAUUGUUUUGUAUAUAAUUAUAACUGGCAUCUUAGAAUUAGAGAGUACCUCUAUUCAAAGUGAUACUGAAUGGCCUUGGUCCCAGGCUUUUAAUCGGUAUACUGGAUCCAUGGGAGAACCUUCUGAGGUAAAAAAUUUAAACCUAUCCACUGUAGUAAUCCACAGGAAUCAGGUAUAUGAGGAGCUGGAGUUGUAGGAACAGGAACUGUGUACACUUUGAGGGAUCAGAGGAGAAGAAAUCAAGGUAGAGUGCUAGGUGGUCAAUGGGAUGGCUCAUGAGAGACCAGAUGCAAUUAGUGUCUCAACCUCUCUUGUAUACAGGCACCAGGAAGUUUGUGAUAGCCCAAGCGAAUCAGACUGUUGCUGUAAUUUCACCUUAAUACAGUCUGUAGAAGUGACUUGUCUUUGGGAUCAUUAUGCUAUUGGGCUCUCAUUUAAAUUUAAAAUAGAUAUUACACUUUUUACAAUGGCAGGACCUUAUACAUCUCACACCAGUACUCAAGCAGUUCAGACCCAACCCAAACUUGAACCUAAAGUGUAUUAAAUAAGCCCAUACGUAGUGAGGAAUAUGGGUGAACAACAACUGUUGUUCAAUCCAAAGUAGUCUCACAAAUGUGUUGAAUGGCUAAUGCAAAUUAACAUCUCAAAAAUCCAACCAGCCUGCUCCUCUUUCCUAAGAACAUCCUUUGAGGGCUGGACAAUGUGGUUACAAAGACAGGUAUACCUCAAGAGCAGAAUAAGAAAAGAUCUAACUGGGAUAUUAGGGACAGGACUGAGAGUUUUAAAUGGAAUUGAUUCAGAAAUACUGAUGAAUAAGCUGGCCACUACAACAAGUGGCCUAGCAAAAUUGAAACAGCCUUUACAGUCAUCUCUAUUAGCAUUAGGAACUAGCCAGUGGCAGAUUUCAAAAGUACUGCCAAAGUAGGAAAAGGCUGAGGACCAAGACCACAAGUUAAUCGUAGAAGUGCUUGGUACAGUUCAAGAUAAUGUGUCUUUAGCUUUCAGUUGUAUUCAAGCACAGUUAUGGAUGCAGGCUGUAGGUGAGACUGGGGGUUAGCACGGUCGGGACGGACGGAGACGAGAGAUCUCUGAAGCCAAGUCGUGGAACUUGCGGUUUAUUGCGAAGGGUGUGGGUACAGGGCCCUGCUGGGAGCUGCCAGCUGCAGCUCGGAGCAGGCCCGAGAGAAGAGAGAGAAUGAGAGGGUAAUAACGUAAAAGGCAAGAGCUAAGAGCAUAGAAAAGUGAGAGCAAGAGUAAGAGUAAGGGCGCAAGAGUAAAAGCAAGAGCAAGAGAACAAGAGCAAAAGCAAGAGAGUGAAGUUCCCGUUACAAUACAUCAUCUUCUGUGUUGAAUAUUCUGAUUCUCACUAACCAAUCUAGUACAACAUACAAAUCCUAUAGCAUUUACAUACAGCCUAUAAGAAUCACUACAUUACCAUAUUGUGCUACAUUUUAAACCCUAAAAACUACUCUUCGGACCCCUUCUGCCAAGCUGGCAGGGUCUGCUCUGACCCUUGGACCUGCCUGCUUGCAGAGGGUAUUGUUUCAUCAAAAGGGGAUUACCUUCAGCCGGCCACACCAUUGUUUUCCUGUUGUUCAGUAACUAAGGGAUGUCAAAGCUUGCUUUCAUUUCAAUCUCGCUUAUAGUUUCUAUAUUCUCAAAAUCUUUUGCCAGGCAAUCAUAUUUGUAAGGCUUUCCUGUUUCAUCUUCCCCAACAGCAGGCAACAGCAGCUUUGAUCAUACGGGAAAGGGGUGAAGGUGAUUUUCCAGCUGAAAUUUGGAAGGUUGUCUGAGAUAAUGUGAUUGAUUUUGGAAGGAAGUUUCAAUCCUGGUGGACUACGGUAAAUUUCCCCUAUGAUCCUGCUUCUAAUGUGGCCACUGCCUUUGUGCUUACUAUACGUAAUGCCACUGUUUAUGUUAUCCACCCCAUCAUUGCACUCGGAUUAAAUUAUAAAAAAACAGUGCUUUACCCUUCAAACAUUAAGUGUGAGCAUGAAAGGUGAAUGAAAAGUAGCAAACAGUAAACUUAGAAUCCUGUAGUACUAGAGAACAGCUAGGAUUCAUUUGUGAAAGCAAUACUAUUAAUGCUCAAGAUGUUUGUCUAGACACUGAACUUUGUAUUUGCCACUUAGAGAUUCAUCCAGUCACUGAUCAAAAGACUGUGCUUGUAUAUACUGGUAAAGGGUGUGUGUGCUUGAGAACUGCUUGUGCUAAUGUAAAAAUUGAUAACAACUAUGUUAUUUUGUCUAGCAGAAAUCAUUCUAAUUUUUGUAUUUGUAAUUUUGUUAAGAUUAGCGAGUGUGAUUUUUCGUACGUGGCCCCGGUGACAUCCCACCAGUUGAUUAAAACCAAUUACACAAUGUAUCACAGACUGUCACCUACUCCUAUUGGAAUAGACCUCACAUUAGUAAAACAAAUAAUUAAACACCAAAGACCUACUGGAGAUCUUGAAGAAAACCCAAGAAAGCAGAGAGAAAACCCUAAUUACUGUCCAACAUGAUACAAAAGAAAUAACCAGAAUUCUGCAAAGAAUAAAACAAAAUGCAGAUCAUCACUAGUGGGAUGUAAUCUUUGGAUGGUCACCAACUGCAAAUGGAAUCUUUAAUAAGCUUGUGUCAUCCUAUUGUAGUUUUGUUAAUAUUAGUUGGAGUAAGUUUAGGGUUAUCCUUUUUAUUGUUAAUUUGGAAUUGGAGAAUGCUACAGCGAGUAUGCAUAUGUAUAUGUAUUUGAUAGGGAGAUAAAAGGAGAUCUGGAGUUCCCAGAGGUAUGCAUGUCAUUUUAGGGGAACGAUCCCCACAUGCGUCCAGCGCUGUUAUAAACAUACCGGCUUUACAACUUUCACAAAAGUUGUGGAGUUUUGUUUGUUUCCGCAAAACAUUGGGACCUAAGAAUUUAUCUAAUUGUUCAGCUGUACCUAUGGGAUCUUCCAAUAAUCUGUAAUUUCCUUUUUAAAAUUUCUGAUUCCUGACUUCUGAAGAAGUCAGGGGGAAGUUUACAAAUCCUGCCUCCCCUUGGACUCCACCUAUUGGUACUUCUUGUAAUGGAAAUAAACUAACCUCUUGAUCCCAA